GAUGAAGAACGUAGUGAAAUGCGAUAAGUAAUGUGAAUUGCAGAAUUCAGUGAAUCAUCGAAUCUUUGAACGCACAUUGCGCCCCCUGGUAUUCCGGGGGGCAUGCCUGUUCGAGCGUCAUUUCACCACUCAAGCCUCGCUUGGUAUUGGGCAACGCGGUCCGCCGCGUGCCUCAAAUCGACCGGCUGGGUCUUCUGUCCCCUAAGCGUUGUGGAAACUAUUCGCUAAAGGGUGUUCGGGAGGCUACGCCGUAAAACAACCCCAUUUCUAAGGUUGCCCUCGGAUCAGGUAGGGAUACCCGCUGAACUUAAGCAUAUCAAUAAGCGGAGGA
rnacentral:misc_RNA from 1 species